AUUGAACGCUGGCGGCAGGCUUAACACAUGCAAGUCGAGCGGAGAUGAGGUGCUUGCACCUUAUCUUAGCGGCGGACGGGUGAGUAAUGCUUAGGAAUCUGCCUAUUAGUGGGGGACAACAUUCCGAAAGGAAUGCUAAUACCGCAUACGCCCUAAGGGGGAAAGCAGGGGAUCUUCGGACCUUGCGCUAAUAGAUGAGCCUAAGUCGGAUUAGCUAGGUGGUGGGGUAAAGGCCUACCAAGGCGACGAUCUGUAGCGGGUCUGAGAGGAUGAUCCGCCACACUCGGACUGACAGACGGCCCUGACUCCUACGGGAGGCAGCAGUGGGAAUAUUGGACAAUGGGGGGAACCCUGAUCCAGCCAUGCCGCGUGUGUGAAGAAGGCCUUUUGGUUGUAAAGCACUUUAAGCGAGGAGGAGGCUCUCUUAGUUAAUACCUAGGAAGAGUGGACGUUACUCGCAGAAUAAGCACCGGCUAACUCUGUGCCAGCCGCCGCCGUAAUAC
rnacentral:rRNA from 1 species